AUUUUUUAGGAACUCUCCAUCGUGUAAGAGAACACCCGUACCCCCACUGCCACCAAAAAAGGGAAAUAUAUUGUAUUCCUGAAACUAUCAGUUGCCACAUGAUCACUAGAAGCAUUGAUGAUGAACACACGGCUGUUCAUGUGUCUCUUUGUUCUGCUCCCAAUGAAGAUGAUGAUGGUAAAUGGGGAGCUGGAUGGAUUGCCCCAAAUCAUCUAGUGAGUACUGAGCAAAGGUGAGAUUAAAUCGCAACCAUGAUUUCCUGAUUCAGGGCCAACAUACACAUCAAGGU